rnacentral:rRNA from 1 species
UACAGAGGUCUCAAGCGUUGUUCGGAUUCAUUGGGCGUAAAGGGUGCGUAGGCGGCGCGGUAAGUCGGGUGUGAAAUCUCGGAGCUUAACUCCGAAACUGCAUUUGAUACUGCCGUGCUUGAGGACUGGAGAGGAGACUUGGAAUUUACGGUGUAGCGGUGAAAUGCGUAGAUAUCGUAAGGAAGACCAGUGGCGAAGGCGGGUCUCUGGACAGUUCCUGACGCUGAGGCACGAAGGCCAGGGGAGCAAACGGG